rnacentral:rRNA from 1 species
CCAAUAGCGUAUAUUAAAGUUGUUGCAGUUAAAAAGCUCGUAGUUGAAUUUCGGGAUCUGUCUGUCGGUCGGGCUUUAUUGUCCGCACUGAUUUGAUGGAUUCUUACCUUCUGAAUAACCAGCAUGCCAUUAAGUUGGUGCGUUGGGGAAGCAGAGCUAUUACCUUGAAAAAAUUAGAGUGCUUAAAGCAGGCUAGUGCUUGAAUAGAUUAGCAUGGAAUAAUAAAAUAGGACGGCAUGGUUCUAUUUUGUUGGUUUCUAGGAUCACCGUAAUGAUUAAUAGGGAUAGUUGGGGGCAUUAGUAUUCAAUUGUCAGAGGUGAAAUUCUUGGAUUUAUUGAAGACUAACUACUGCGAAAGCAUUUGCCAAGGAUGUUUUCAUUAAUCAAGAACGAAAGUUAGGGGAUCGAAGACGAUCAGAUGCCGUCGUAGUCUUAACCAUAACCUAUGCCGACUAGGGAUCGGACGAAGUUAAUUUUUUAAUGACUCGUUCGGCGCCUUACG